AUUGAUGCUAGACUUCAACUCAUCUUGGAAAUGCACUGAAGUGGGCAUAUUUCCUUCUGACACAUUUCUCAGAAUAAAUAGCAAAGAACUGAUAAUUUAUUACAGUGUAUUUUUCACAUGAAAGUUGACCACCUCGAUUUCAAUGUUUCUUACAGGCUAUCUCAUAAAAUGGAGACUGAUAGAGGGCAGGGGACCUUGCAGCUGCUUCAAUGAAAAAUACCAUAGAUAAAGUCACAGUUCAAUUUUCCUGCAGAUCCUCACAUCUGGUUAGCACAGUCCUCCCUUCAGCUGGUAAUGGACUUGAGACAGUUCUGGACUUUGUGAGCCUUAAAUCUGAAGGUAACCUGUCACUGGUGCCUGCAGAUUCUCUCUCAAUUUGUGCCCUUAAUGUUCUCUGUUGCUAUUCAUAAUCCUUUUUUGAUUUUAUUUUAUUUUCAGUCAUGUGAUGCCAUGUUCUAAGUUCAGUACAGAAGAGCCUGUUGGGCUGUGCCAAAGCCAAAAGAACCUACAGCAAUUCUGGUCGUGGAAAGACAUAGCAACCUUUGGGAUUAUUGCUUAGCAACUGCAAACACACAGAGGAGUAAAACUCACAGCCCAGCUCCACAGCAGGUCUGAAAAAUCCCAAAUUCACAUCAAGAUUUUUAAUGGUUGAGAACAGAUGGGCAUAUAUUAAAUUCCUGUUGAUUUGCAAAGCCACUUUGAAUGCAGGAGGAAUAAGAUCUAUUUUGAUACCUGCUCCAAAGGUAAGAAAAACAGUUAUUCAAAGUUUUAGAAAGCAAAGGAGAAAAUGUUUUUAAAUUCUAAUUGUAUUGA
rnacentral:lncRNA from 12 species